rnacentral:rRNA from 1 species
UACGUAGGGUGCGAGCGUUGUUCGGAAUUACUGGGCGUAAAGGGCGCGUAGGCGGGCCUGUAAGUCGUUUGUGAAAGCCCCGGGCUUAACCUGGGAAUGGCAGACGAAACUGCAGGUCUUGAGUGCUUGAGAGGAUGGCGGAAUUGCAGGUGUAGAAGUGAAAUUCGUAGAUAUCUGCAAGAACACCGGAGGCGAAGGCGGCUGUCUGGCAAGACACUGACGCUAAGGCGCGAGAGCGUGGGUAGCAAACAGG